rnacentral:tmRNA from 1 species
CGGGGCGACAUGGUUUCGACGCCGGUGACAACUCUGCGGUGCAUGCCGAGAGCGUGAUGUAUCUCGUAAAUCCAACAUCACGAUUAAAUAGUCGCAAACGACGACACCUACGCUCAGGGCGCGCUGGCAGCGUAAACCUGCUGGCUUCUAGCCCGGCCCCAAAGCGAUGCCCAUUCAUCGCGGAGGGAUAUGAGCCAAGACUGAUGGGAUCGCGGUCGGCGGCGUCCUCCCGUCGAUCGUUAAACUCGAGGAAUCGCGCUGCUGGAUCCCGCCCGUCGGACAGCGGCGUUAAAUGAAAAGACGGACCUAAGCAUGUAGAGCCAAUGGGCGAGUGCCGGCGGACGCGGGUUCAAUUCCCGCCGCCUCCACCA